UUUUCCACUCUCCAGCCACAUGACAAAAGUGCCUGCUGGCCUCAGACCAUGAAGCAGUAGUGUUGAUCCCAGCCUUUUUAUUGCUGCCAGCAACUAUCACAAAGUGACUUUAUUGUGCAUGCAACAGUUGGUGACACUGACUCAGGGAGUGUUAUCAGCUCCUAUUCUACAUAUUUCAGAACACGUUUAUUAUGAGGACACCCUGUUGUUCAGCAGCCCAAGAAAAGCUGGACUUUCUCAAAGCAGCAAGAAGAAAUUGCAGUCUUUUGUGUGAGACAAAGCAUCAUAUACUGGCAUCUUGUCUUGCCUUGGCAACACAGGUCUGCUAACAGCUGAGUCCUCAGAAAUGGUCCUGCAGGGCAGGACCAGAGGCAAGCAGAAGGGAACCAUGCAGCACCCAGUAAUGUAGAAUACCCUGUGCAGGGCAGGAGGAGGGGACACCAGCAGCUCCCAAGGAUGGACUGGAGCAACUGGAAAAGCAAAAGGAGGACUGAAACUUGCCUUAGUGAGAGAGGUAGCUCAGCUGCAUAGGUUUCAGCACUAUAGAAGACCUUAAACUCAAAAGGUAAGCUUUGUGCAGGUGUAAAUUCCAAUGGGCUUGUAUCAGCACCUUCUGCCCACUAGUCAUCACUCCGAUUUUUCUCAAGAAAAACUAUUAACCCAUGAAGGACUGGAAGCUGGAGAUUCCUUUUCUUUCACAAGAUCUGCAGCAUCUUGAGAGGAAUAUGGAGAAAAGUAUUAGGGCUCAGAAAGGGAAACAAGUUCUUCAAAGAAGAUCCUAUUUUAAGUGGUUCAAUGUCAGCAUGACUUCUAAGGGCUAAAAGGAAGGCUACUGGAAGGCUGUGAGGAACACUCCCAAAGGGAAGCAGCAAACCGGUGACAUAUAGGAUAAAGGAUUCUAGGAUCACCUUUGGCUAUUUAGCAACCACUGUCCUUAUGAGACAUCAAUCUAGAGCAAACCCUGGACCUUGAACUAAAAAUACAUUGCAAGCUUGGCUCCUAAUUUUGAGAAGGGGUGCAAACCUGUUUUCCUGCAUGAUUAAAAGGAGAAGAAAUUAGAAAUUAGAAGGAAAAUAAGAAAAUGUUCCUGCUUAACAGUCUUGGCAUGUCUGGGUUCAGGUACCAAUCAGAUGCAGAGCUCUCUUCUCCUGCAGUACAAAUGACUUUAAACUUAGAAAUGAAGAGACUUCAACCCCCCAACAAUUGUAAUUCUGAAGUGCUCAACAGCCUUUAAUUCAUUAUGAACCUAGAGGCAGAGAUUAAAAAAAAAAAGUCAAAAAAAUACAUCACAUCCUUAAUCUAGGAAAAAAAGUCAGUAUUUUUAUAGCACAUCAU